GCGGGGCCAGCCGGAGCGGCGCAGCGAUGGCGACCGGGCUGGUGCUCGGGGUGGUGGCGAUCGUGGGGCUGGUGGGGGUGGUGGUGGCGAUACUGGCCAGCAAGCAGCACGCCCACUGCAGAGGAUCCUGCGGUGGGAAUAAUGAUGGGGGAAACUAUCACAGGCACUCUGAUUAAUCGUCCUAACACGCUUUGAGGGAUGCAGGAAAAACUCCACGGGGGCAAGAGGGAGCAGAAGGGAGGGUCCCAGGAGUCCUGUCCUGGGACUGGUGCAACGUGAGAUGGACGGAGCUUUCCCCACCCUCACCCAAUCAGCUGCAGAGCAUAUUUUCUUCUCCUUUCUUUUUAAAACUCAUGUUACAAGAAAACGUUCUAUAGCAGAGCUUGCUUUUAAAAAAAGUAAAUUGCCAUUUUAAUUCCUUGUUUCGUGUUGUCCAGCAGUUUGUGGAGUUUGGGGAAGGGCCAUCCCUGGACUGCAGCUCUGGGAUGGCUCCAGGCAGGGAGCAGGAUCAUGUCACCUUCUUUUCCCCAGGGAAAAGCAGGAUAUUUACCUACUCAGUCCUUCCAAGUGAGGAUGUGCUGGGGCCCCUGGGAGAGAGCCGAGGGAUGUGGGGUGGAAAGGCAGGAAGCUGUGCAUGUCCCACCAUUGCCUCCUUCCCUAGAGCCAGCCCCAGGGACCUCACGCUGUGCCUGGAGUUGGGAAGAGCUCUGAGCAGCUGGAUCCCGGCUUUGGCCAGAGACCAAAGUCUUAGGAAGACCACAUGAAGGACCUGGGGGUGUUCAGCCUGGAGAAAAGGAGGCUGAGGGGAGACCUUCUACAAGUCUCUGAAGGAAGGCUGGAGUGUGGAAAGGUCGCUCUCUUCUCCCAAGGAACAAGAGGAAACAACCUCAAGUUGCCCAGGGGAGGUUUGGAGUGGAUAUUAGAAGAAACUUCUUCCCUGAAGGGGCCGUUAAACACUGGCACAGGCUGGGCUGGGCGGGGAGGUGGCUGAGUCACCGUCCCUGGAGGUUUUCCAAAGCCCUGUAGGUGGUGCUGAGGGACAGGGUUUAGUACAGGACUUUUGAGUCAAUGGUAGAAUUAGGUGUGGGAAAACACGGGAAAAGUGAGGGAAAAGUGGUAGAGUGAAUAGGACAGUGUAGGAAUGAGCAAAGUUGUGGGAGGGGGAAGGGUAAAGGAACUGUCUGUGCUACCCCAGGGGCGUUUUUAUCCUGUGCACAAAAGGAGAUCCAGGAGCCCCUUCCACCCACCCAGAAGAGCCUGCGGGUCGAGGUUCUGCUGUAAGAGCAGAGCUCCCCUCUGCUGGACACCCUUGAGUUGAGAGUCGAGAGCUCAGCCAGGCAGCAGAGACCUGGGAAAGGUGUUGGCCAUGGCUGGAAGGCAAGGAAAGCAACUCCAUGAGCCCUCAGAGUUCGGGUUGAGCUGCUUCCACCCACCAUCUCAGCUGAUCAAACCCCCAGCCUCGUGCAGGGGGCAGAUCCCUGCUGCUGGGACGGAGACGUGGGGUGACAAGGACAAGGAUAGAGCAGCAGAAGAUUGUGGCUUUGCCCCAGAACCCGUCCCCAUCCCGCCCUUCCUUAAAGCCGAGAUGGCAGCCAAGGGAGGAGAUGCCCCAUGUUCCCCCAUGGAGUUGGCAAAGUGACAGGACAGCAGGAGGAACCGGAGAUUAAAAAUAUGUGGAGAGCUUCCUGUGGGUGGAGAGCAAAUAUCUGGGAGGGAGGAAGAAGCCAGAGGUUCUGGAGGGCCUGGAGAAGUUCUCAUGGGAAACCUUGAACCACUCUGGUUUGGGGCAGUGCAGGGGGGUUUUGGUGACUCGAGGGGGGGGGGCAGGGGUGGCUCCUGUGAGAAGCUUUUGAAAGCAGAGAAGGGGAAACCCAACUACUGCCAAGGAGGAAAUGGGGAGGGGAGAGCAGCGCUGGAGCAGAGGGUAUCAAGGGUGGGCAGGAAGGAAGGGGAGGAGGUGCCUGAGCAGAGGUUCUGCAGCCCAUGGUGAGGUGGCAGCUGUUCCCUGCAGCCCACGGAGGAGCACGAUGGGGCAGAUAUGAGCCCAGGAAGAAGGGAGGGGUGAGGUGAAGUGUUUAAGCUCUUUUUUUUUUUUUUUUUCUUUUUUCUUUCUCCUCUUUGUCCUGUUUCCAUCUGAUUAGUGAUAAAUUAAAUGGAAUGUAUUCCCAAGUUGAGUCUGUUUUGCCCGUAACCACAACUGGUGAGUGAACCCUCCCUGUCCUUGUCUCAUCCAUGAGCUUCCACUUGGAUUUUCUCCUCCCCAUCCCCCACUGAGGGGAGCAGUGAGUGAGCAGCCUUGAGUUUCUUUCUUGUCAGCUGGGUCUAAACCAUGACAUCCUUGAUGCAUUUCUUAAAGUCCUCCAGGUCUCACCUUCAGCAACACAUGGGACACCACUUGCAACCUGUACUGUUGCUCACGCCCUUGUUGGGUCAAACUCAUGAAAGCAAAAAUUAAGGAAACAAAUAUAAAUGGUACUGAAACACCUUGGCUUGAUCUGCCUCCUCCACCAUCCUGGGGUGUGCCCGUGACAUUUAAAUGCAGUGUCCCAGCAGGAGCUUGGGGACAUGGUUUAGUGGUGGCCUUGGCAGUGCUGGCUUAAUGGUUGGACUUGAUGAUCUUAAAGGUCUUUUCUAACCAAAAUGGUUGUAUGACAGUUCCCCUCUCAGGGCAGGUCUGCAUGUGGCCCACCCUCCAACCCCCUCUCCUACAGAUGGACCAUUUCUGAUUCUUGGAGGCACUUGAAAGGCUGGGUGAGCAGACCCCACUUUGGGAACUGCCCCAGUUCCCAGAGAAAUUUUGGGCUGUUUGCAGGAAGAGCCUCUCAGUCUCAUGGGUUGGUAAACCCUGCCUGCAAGUGUAGGAUCCCUGGAGACCAUCGCUGGGAUGGUCACCAGACACACCAGGUCAUGGUGACCAGCUUGUGGUGCACCUCAGUGUUACCUGCACCACCUGACACUGGAUGUGUUCUCCCAGGGAAUCACAGGUCACAUCUAGCCUUCUGGGGACAAGUUAGACUGUACUUUAGGAAUUCCAGGCUGGUGCCUUCAGAGAGCAUGAUGUUCAAGCAUUAAAUAAUCCAAUUGAGAUCUACGGGGAUGAUGAAGGGGCUGGAACAUCUGUCAUAUGAGGAAAGGCUGAGAGACCUGGGGCUGUUUAGUCUUGAGAAGACCAAAAGGGGACCUGAUUGAUGUCUACAAAUAUCUGAAGGGUGGGUGUCAGGAAUGGCCCAAUGUCUGUUCAGUGGUGCCUGUGAUAGGACAAGGGGAAAUGGCAGCAAGUGACAACACAGGAAGUUCCACCUCAAUAUGAGGAGAAACUUCUUUCUCGUGAGGGUGACAGAGCCCUGGGACAGGCUGCCCAGAGAGGCUGUGGAGUCUCUGGAGAUUUCCAAGACCUGUUUGGACAUGUUCCUGUGUGAUCUGCCCUGGGUGUUCCUGCUGCUUCAGAGGUCCCUUCUAACCCCUGUGAUUCUAUGAUUCUAUGAAUCGAGGGGAUGCAUAACCAGGAGGGGUGAGUUGCCACCCCCAACCUGGCCAAGCUGUUCUGCAGGGCUGACAGUGUGUGCAUCUUUGAUGCCGUGGGCAGUGGUGGAGAAGAACCAAUUGUCUAUAGAAAAUCCACCUUGGCAAGUGGAAAAUCAUAGAAGCACAGAAUCACUGAGGCUGGAAACAGUCUCUGAUGUACAACAAUCAGCCCAACACCACCCUGCCAACUACACGUUUUGAACUCCUUCAGGUGACUCCACCACUGCCCUGGGCAGCCCGUUCCAAUGCCUGACCACUCUUCAGUAAAGGAAUUGUUCCUAAUAUCCAAUCUGAACCUCCCCUGGUGCACCUUGGGGCCAUUUCCCUUUGUCCUAUCACCCGUUACAUGGGGGAAGAGACCAACCCUCAUCUCAGUCCAACCUUCCUUCAAGCAGUUGCAGAGAGCAAUAAGCGAGUUGGACCCUUAGAACUGCCAGUGCUGCCAACCCUCAGCUGCAGCUUCACCAAGGGCUCCACAAAACCACUUGGUGUUGGACUUGGUACAGCUGAAACUGGCAUUUGUGGGUAGCUGAACAUGACCUGUCCUGAUGAAACCUCUUGUGUGGCAGCUCCAAAUGUGUCUUCCACCCUACACCAAACUGUAGACAGGAUGCAAAAAGCUGCUGCCAAGAUGUGAGAACGUCACAAGAGGAUGAAGUCCCAAGAUGUUGGAUGGAUCAAGAAAGUUUUGUGUUGGUUUGGACUUCAUGUUAGCAGCUGGAUCCAAAGUUUAACCCAAUGUGUGCUGGUGGUGGAGCUUCAACACUUCGUAUCGAGGGGAGACGUCCCCGGCAGGCGGGCUCGCCGGGACCCGCAGCAGCGUGACCUGGCAGCAGGGCACGGGUUCCAGCAGGAUCACAGGCAGGCUGUGAGCAGGGCAGAUGCAGGGAGACCCCACAGACGAAGGGCAGGAACCGGGACUGAUGAAGAAUCCAACAGCAAGGAGCCCAAACCCCAAAAAACAGUCAGACAAGCGGCUCUCCGGCGGGUUCUCUCAUGACUCCCGGGGGCUCGCUCCGUCAGCUCCGGUUGGUUUUGCCUUUCAGCUCUGACUGCUCCGGCCAAUCGGGCAGGGACUCCUCCCGCCCUGCUGCACCGUCCCUGGGCAGGAUUCCCAGCUUUUUCCGCGGCUGCUGCUGUCCAUCACCUGCAGCUUGUGUCCUUGUUGCUUGUCCUUGUGGCCCGGGAGCUGGGGGCAGCCGUUUUAAGUCGGUGAAGAGCUGCUGGCGUAGAGGACAUAAUAUGUGGAGAAAAGGUUCUGUCCUCAGCAGGCCUCUUUUUGCUGAUGUAGCCAAGGACGAACUGGAAAAGGCCCCCCCUGUUCUACCAGACAUGUCCAAAACAAGAAAAGACCAUAAGGGUUCUGAUAAACAGCAGGAAAAUGGACAAAAGCUUAAAGAGGCCUCUGGAAGAGGACAUUCCUGGCCAGUGCUAAUUGGAUGAUUUGAACAGUGGUACUGAAACAAAAAUUGGGAGCUUCCAAACCCCCUGCUUUCUAACACUCCUCACUGAAGUGGGAGGCUGCUGCAGCCAGGUAAGGAUUCCCAGAUCAAGACCCAAUAACAACAAACAAGCUGUUACUGAGCAGGCAUUCUUUAUUGCAGAGCUGGGGAUUCUCCAGCAUGAGUGCUCCGAGGAGUCAGCAAAACACCCCAACUAAUAUACACCAAAACCACACAUAUUCAGUUCCAUGGCAAUGAGUUCCCAGAGUUCUUUUACAUAGUCACUUGAUUUCCUGGAAUUGGCUAUCUUUGUAAUUAUGCAAGCUUGAGAGUCUCCCGUGGGGGGUCUUUGUUGAUUCUAGUCCUUUGUCCUGGUCUCUCCUCCUGGUCCUGUCUCCAGUCCCUGCUGGUCGAUUGCCCAGGUGGGUCAGAACCAACAUGAGUGUUGUCUGUAGAACCACAGGUUCUUAGAAGACUUGAUGUUAUCACAACCUGCAGGAUGCUGGGCAUUGACUGAGAGUUUCACAAAGCACUUUGUUUUAAAAGUAACCCGUUCAGCUAACGUAGUACACCAAAUUAAUUAUUUUAGUACGUUUUUAUUAGGCUAUAUUUCUAUUGAAUCUACUAACGAGUAUCAAUUCCUAAUUUGAACGGGAAUCUCUGAUCUAAAGAAGGCAAGUGUUGAGGCUGCUGCCUCCGCCUGGGAAACGCCGUCCAGGAGGGAACCCGCCUGGGACCUGACACAUCCCGAGCCUACCGCUCCUGAACCCUGGGCCCUCGGUUUGUGUUAACCCUUAAUAAACCGGUUAAUU